rnacentral:rRNA from 1 species
UCAGUGGCGAACGGGUGAGUAACACGUGAGCAAUCUGCCCUUGACUCUGGGAUAAGCGCUGGAAACGGCGUCUAAUACCGGAUACGAGCUGCGAAGGCAUCUUCAGCAGCUGGAAAGAACUUCGGUCAAGGAUGAGCUCGCGGCCUAUCAGCUAGUUGGUGAGGUAAUGGCUCACCAAGGCGUCGACGGGUAGCCGGCCUGAGAGGGUGACCGGCCACACUGGGACUGAGACACGGCCCAGACUCCUACGGGAGGCAGCAGUGGGGAAUAUUGCACAAUGGGCGCAAGCCUGAUGCAGCAACGCCGCGUGAGGGACGACGGCCUUCGGGUUGUAAACCUCUUUUAGCAGGGAAGAAGCGAAAGUGACGGUACCUGCAGAAAAAGCACCGGCUAACUACGUGCCAGCAGCCGCGGUAAUACGUAGGGUGCAAGCGUUAUCCGGAAUUAUUGGGCGUAAAGAGCUCGUAGGCGGUUUGUCACGUCUGCUGUGAAAACUGGAGGCUCAACCUCCAGCCUGCAGUGGGUACGGGCAGACUAGAGUGCGGUAGGGGAGAUUGGAAUUCCUGGUGUAGCGGUGGAAUGCGCAGAUAUCAGGAGGAACACCAAUGGCGAAGGCAGAUCUCUGGGCCGUAACUGACGCUGAGGAGCGAAAGGGUGGGGAGCAAACAGGCUUAGAUACCCUGGUAGUCCACCCCGUAAACGUUGGGAACUAGUUGUGGGGUCCAUUCCACGGAUUCCGUGACGCAGCUAACGCAUUAAGUUCCCCGCCUGGGGAGUACGGCCGCAAGGCUAAAACUCAAAGGAAUUGACGGGGACCCGCACAAGCGGCGGAGCAUGCGGAUUAAUUCGAUGCAACGCGAAGAACCUUACCAAGGCUUGACAUAUACGAGAACGGGCUAGAAAUAGUCAACUCUUUGGACACUCGUAAACAGGUGGUGCAUGGUUGUCGUC